rnacentral:tRNA from 1 species
GCGAAUAUGGUGAAAUUGGUAGACACGCUGGUUUUAGGAACCAGUGGCUUACGCCUUGGGGGUUCGAGUCCCUCUAUUCGUA